AAGAGCUCUCCAUAUACUCCGUCAAAGACGACAUUAUAAGAUUUUGACAACAUUUUAGCUCGGAUUCGAUUCAUGAUCAGGUUUAGAUCAUGUCAGGCAUCUCCACCUUUCCAUUUUCUCUCAACCCCGAAGAAUCUCUGGAAGAAGAUCUCAAAACAACCAUAUCUGGUGCACCAAUGUGUUUUUCUGGCAGUGCAUGGUUUGCACAGUUGCAGAUUUAUCUUGACACGGCUUCUGGACAGUCAGGUUACCAUCCUUCGAUAAGUGUACAUAUUGGUGCACCUGUAAUACAGUGAUUUAGAGGAGGAUUUGAAGUGAUUUCAGCUGAGAAAAGCAAAGAAGGUUCUAGCUUGAGCAUUUGGUAUGAUUGGUUUCGAAUUUUUGCUGGAUUUUCACUGAAGAAGCGGCAUUAGGUAGAUGUUUAAAGUUCUCCAUAAGAUGAGGUUUGUUUUUUGGAUCAUAGCUGAACUGGUUACGAAUCAAACACUCUUCCCCGAGGACUCUGAAUUGUAGCAAUUACUACACAUUUUCAGGUUGCUUGCUGGGGACUCUAAAUUAAGAUCGAUGGACAGGGGUAAGCAAGGUAACGAAUUGACAUAUAAUCAGUUCACCAAGGUCUGCUCUUGAUCUGUCAAGGUUGAUUCGAGGAUGACUCAGUUUUGGCCAUGUUAGGUUCAUAGUUUUGUCAAUCUGUGUAGACUUGAGUGGUUGUUGGCUACAAAGGAUGUUGGAUUUUCUGGAAUUUUGCACAUGUGAACGCGCACGUACACCAGUGUAAAUUAAAAAAAAUUAAAAAUGAAA